rnacentral:sRNA from 1 species
CUUUAGCCCUGAUGGAAGCGGCAUCCUUUUUUUGGUGGCUGAGGCUCUCGAAGCCAUCAAAAAAAGAUACAGCGGACAGCAGGAAAUACG